UCAGCUUCCCGUAUGUUACUGUUUACAAAACCCGAAAAAUAAUCGAUGGAUUGACUGGAAUUUUGUACACAACGCUACAUUUCUUUAGAAGAGUAUUCAGCUAAAGCGAAGGAUGUUCGGUUUCAGCUAGUUUAAGUUCAAUUGAUAUUUAAAUCGAUGAUUUUAUCUAAGAAGUGAUCUGAUUUAAAGUUUUCAAAAGAAGAAAAGAAUUAAUUUCUGAUUGUAUUGGUAUUGUAUUCAAUUUAUUCUGGAUCUGUGUGAGUUUCUAUCAUACCAGACACAUACAAUAAUGCCUCGGCCACGUUCAAACAUAGGCCGCCGUUCUCGAUGUGCAAUUAUAGAACGUAAAAAAAGAUCAAAACGUACUGAACAAAAACGGUUAGAAGAUAAUGAACGUAUUAGAGUGAGAAUUUCUCAAAAAAGAGCAGAAGAAUUGCCAGAUCAGCGGGAAAAAAGACUUAAAGCCUCACGUGAAGAUGCAAGAAAAAAAAGAGCAGCACAUUUAUCUCAACAGCGGCAAAUAAAUGUACGACAAAGACUUUUGCAGAUACAAUAUCUGAACGACCAUAGUGCACAUGAUGAUGCUUUUUCAUUCGAACCAGAUAUUCAAUGCACAUUAAUUGAAAAUACUAAAAAAGUUUGUCAACAUUGCACUGAAAUGGGAUUUGAAGAAGAAGCAUCAGGUACUACCUGCAUGUGUUAUAAAGUGAAACUUGAGCAGCCAGAUGAACCACCAAAAAGUUAAAUGGAUAUCCUAAUGAUUUAUAACAUGUUCUGAAAAAUAUUUGAUAAUGCUAUUCCUAUUUUCAUAUAAACUUCACCAAUUGACUCAUUAAAGCUUUGUCUUACUUAUUAUUUCAGGGGCAAAUUAAUAAAAAAUUAUUAACA